GGCCUACGGGAGGCAGCAGUAGGGAAUCUUCCACAAUGGGCGAAAGCCUGAUGGAGCAACGCCGCGUGAGUGAAGAAGGGUUUCGGCUCGUAAAGCUCUGUUGGUAGGGAAGAAAGAUAGAGGGAGUAACUGGCCUUAUUUUGACGGUAAUUACUUAGAAAGUCACGGCUAACUACGUGCCAGCAGCCGCGGUAAUACGUAGGUGGCAAGCGUUGUCCGGAUUUAUUGGGCGUAAGGCGAGUGCAGGCGGUU
rnacentral:rRNA from 1 species